AUUGAACGCUGGCGGCAGGCCUAACACAUGCAAGUCGAACGAGUGGCGGACGGGUGAGUAAUGUCUGGGAAACUGCCUGAUGGAGGGGGAUAACUACUGGUAACGGUAGCUAAUACCGCAUACCAUCGGAUGUGCCCAGAUGGGAUUGGCUAGUAGGUGGGGUAAAGGCUCACCUAGGCGACGAUCCCUAGCUGGUCUGUGAGGAUGACGAGCCACACUGGAAAUGAGACACGGUCCAGACUCCUACGAGGGGCAGCAGUGGGGAAUAUUGCACAAUGGGCGCGAGCCUGAUGCAGCCAUGCCGCGUGUAUGAAGAAGGCCUUCGGGUUGUAAAGUACUUUCAGCGGGGAGGCGUUACCCGCAGAAGAAGCACCGGCUAACUCCGUGCCAGCAGCCGCGGUAAUUC
rnacentral:rRNA from 1 species